rnacentral:rRNA from 1 species
CCUACGGUGUGCAGCAGUGGGGAAUAUUGGGCCAUGGGCGCAAGCCUGACCCAGCAACGCCGCGUGAAGGAAGAAGGCUUUCGGGUUGUAAACUUCUUUUCUGAGGGACGAAGAAAGUGACGGUACCUCAGGAAUAAGCCACGGCUAACUACGUGCCAGCAGCCGCGGUAAUACGUAGGUGGCAAGCGUUAUUCGGAUUUAUUGGGUGUAAAGGUCGUGUAGGCGGGAAAGCAAGUCAGAUGUGAAAACUCAGGGCUCAACCCUGAGCCUGCAUUUGACACUGUUUUUAUUGAGUGCUGGAGAGGCAAUCGGAAUUCCGUGUGUAGCGGUGAAAUGCGUAGAUAUACGGAGGAACACCAGUGGCGAAGGCGGAUUGCUGGACAGUAACUGACGCUGAGGCGCGAAAGCGUGGGGAGCAAACAGGAUUAGAUACCCGGGUAGUC